AAUGAGAAAAAAAUUAAAAAUAAAUCUGUGAUGCUGUAAAUUGAAAAAAAAUUGUGAAAAUUCGAAGAGAAUCUGUAUACUAUGAGUUUGAGGUUAUAUUGAUACACCUAAAUAAUACUGGGCGCUCGCAGGAGUUGUUGGAGAUCUAGUAAGCAUCAAAAAUCAAUAAAGAAAUUGAAUAAUAUUCAGGAUGCACAGGAGAAAAAAUAAAGAGGAUGACAAGGCAGUGAUUCUUUGUAUUUUGAUCUUGGAAGCGGAAUCUGAUCAAAGAAUCCGAUGACGACUGAGAACUAAUUUGAGUCCUUCCAGAAUCCUUCGUGCUGUCAAUUCAACCACGAAUACAUAUUUCUUCAGGUGUCAGCACGUGUCUACCAAGAGAGGAAUUACCACAAAGCACAGCGAACAUGGGGUGAAUCAACUAUGCCAUUCAAAUUUGAUACAAACUGACUUUGUCACUCAUUAGAAGAACUAGAUCUCUGAGCCCCUCUGAAGAUAAUUUAAAUAACAAUACGCUGGGAUGAUGGAGUUAGUCUUUGGCGUGUCCGGUUCUGCUGAUUCUGUUGAUGUAUUCAUUCUUCAAGG
rnacentral:misc_RNA from 1 species